GAUGAACGCUGGCGGUGUGCCUAAUACAUGCAAGUCGUACGCAUUCUCGUUUCUGAUUGACGGUGCUUGCACCUAAUUGACGAGACAUUGGAAUGAGUGGCGGACGGGUGAGUAACACGUGGGUAACCUGCCCAGAAGUGGGGGAUAACAUUUGGAAACAGAUGCUAAUACCGCAUAAAAGUCAAAACCACAUGGUUUUGAUUUAAAAGACGGCCUUUGUGCUAUCACUUCUGGAUGGACCCGCGGCGUAUUAGCUAGUUGGUAAGGUAACGGCUUACCAAGGCAAUGAUACGUAGCCGAACUGAGAGGUUGAUCGGCCACAAUGGGACUGAGACACGGCCCAUACUCCUACGGGAGGCAGCAGUAGGGAAUCUUCCACAAUGGGCGCAAGCCUGAUGGAGCAACACCGCGUGAGUGAAGAAGGGUUUCGGCUCGUAAAACUCUGUUGUUAAAGAAGAACGUAUCUAAGAGUAACUGCUUAGGUAGUGACGGUAUUUAACCAGAAAGCCACGGCUAACUACGUGCCAGCCGCCGCAGUAA
rnacentral:rRNA from 1 species